rnacentral:rRNA from 1 species
AGCUUGAGGAAAAUGUAUCUUAAGUUAAACCUGCCCAAUGUAAACCAGUAUCAAUGGCCGCGGUACUUUGACCGUGCUAAGGUAGCGAAAUCAAUUGGCUUUUAAUUGGAGUCAGGUAUGAAUGGGAUCACGUGGUUUAACUGUCUCCUUAUUAAUCAUUCGAAAUUACUAUAUAGAUGAAAAAGUCUUUAGCAAGAAAAAAGACGAGAAGACCCUUAGAGUUUUUCUUAAAGUAAAUCUUUACUCUAUUUACAAAAGUUUAGUUGGGGCAACUAGAGAAAAAAAUUUGUAACUUCUUGGAGCAUACACUAGCCGAUUAUUUUAAGUACGAAUAAACUACCUUAGGGAUAACAGCAUUAUAUAAAAAAUAAGUUUGUGACCUCGAUGUUGGACUGGGAAACUAAAAGGCUAGCCGUUUUUUAGGUAAGUUCUGUUCGAACUAAAAUUCCC